rnacentral:rRNA from 1 species
GACGAACGCUGGCGGCGCGCCUAACACAUGCAAGUCGAACGGAGCUGAGAGAAGCUUGCUUUUCUUAGCUUAGUGGCGAACGGGUGAGUAACGCGUGAGUAACCUGCCCUGGAGUGGGGGACAACAGUUGGAAGCGACUGCUAAUACCGCAUAAGCCCACGAUCCGGCAUCGGAUUGAGGGAAAAGGAUUUAUUCGCUUCAGGAUGGACUCGCGUCCAAUUAGCUAGUUGGUGAGGUAACGGCCCACCAAGGCGACGAUUGGUAGCCGGACUGAGAGGUUGAACGGCCACAUUGGGACUGAGACACGGCCCAGACUCCUACGGGAGGCAGCAGUGGGGGAUAUUGCACAAUGGGGGAAACCCUGAUGCAGCGACGCCGCGUGGAGGAAGAAGGUUUUCGGAUUGUAAACUCCUGUCGUUAGGGACGAUAAUGACGGUACCUAACAAGAAAGCACCGGCUAACUACGUG